GGCUGCCUGAUGGUGGUGGGUUAUCAGAUCUUACCAACAUUCGUGUCACUAGGGCUGGUAUAAACCCCCCACUGCUAAAUUUGGCUGGCUUUUU
rnacentral:Y_RNA from 1 species